AAACAACGGAGAGUUUGAUCCUGGCUCAGGAUGAACGCUAGCGACAGGCCUAACACAUGCAAGUCGAGGGGCAUCGGGGGAGAGAGCUUGCUCUCUCCUGCCGGCGACCGGCGCACGGGUGAGUAACGCGUAUGCGACCUGCCCUGCACAGUGGGAUAACCCGGAGAAAUCCGGACUAAUACCGCAUGCCCCCGCGGUGCUGCAUGGCUCCGCGGGGAAAGGAGGCGACUCCGGUGCAGGAUGGGCAUGCGUGACAUUAGCUAGUCGGCGGGGUAACGGCCCACCGAGGCGACGAUGUCUAGGGGUUCUGAGAGGAAGGUCCCCCACACUGGUACUGAGACACGGACCAGACUCCUACGGGAGGCAGCAGUGAGGAAUAUUGGUCAAUGGGCGGGAGCCUGAACCAGCCAAGUCGCGUGAGGGAAGACGGUCCUAUGGAUUGUAAACCUCUUUUGUCAGGGAGCAAGUGCCCCACGUGUGGGGAGCUGAGAGUACCUGAAGAAAAAGCAUCGGCUAACUCCGUGCCAGCAGCCGCGGUAAUACGGAGGAUGC
rnacentral:rRNA from 1 species